UGGUGGUGCAUGGCCGUUCGUAGUUGGUGGAGUGAUUUGUCUGGUUAAUUCCGAUAACGAACGAGACCUCAGCCAUUUAACUAGCUGUGGCUAAAAAAUUAGCUGUCAUAAAGCGUGAGAUCAGCUUCUUAAAGGGACUAUCUGUUUCAGCAGAAGGAAGAUUGAGGCAAUAACAGGUCAGUGAUGCCCUUAGAUGCUCUGGGCUGCACGCGGGCUACAAUGUCGCAUCCAGCGAGUUGUCCGAGUCUGAGAAGGCGAGGCAAUCUCCAAAGUGCGUCUAAGUUGGGAUAGAUGAUUGCAAUUAU
rnacentral:rRNA from 1 species